CACGCGUUGUUUACGCGUUCCAGCGAGCACCCUUGCUUCAAGUUUUUAGUUUUUUAAUUUUCGCAAGCCUUCCCCGUUCUCCCCUCCUCUUUAUAUGCUGGCUACUAAGGAAGUUGUUGGAAGAAUUCAGUUCAGGCUCCAGAGAGAAUCUUAGCGAUUUUCUCACGAUCAAUCAUCGAUCUCAAUUGGAGGCCCUUGAUGUUGUAACUCCUUGCCUUUGGGGACUUAGAUGCUUCAUCUUUGAUAACUCAACAAGCUUCGAGAUAUCCACGAACCCAGAGAUUUAGGCUUGUUGAACUUUUUUGAGUGGAAAGGGGCUUCUGGUUCAGUAUUCGAUUUGCGGGUUUUAACUGCUGUUUGGUAAUUAUAUAUAGUUGAAGAAGGAAGAUAAGAUGGGUCACCACCACCAUCAUCACCAUCACCAUGGAAGCGAUAGCCCAUACGACGAUCCUUUCUUGGCCUGUUGUUGCUGCCCAUGUCUUCUGGUCUCCUCCAUAUUUAGAGGUCUUGGAAGAUGCUUGUUCGUUGCUUGUUACCCCAUCUUGCAGUGCUUCGGAUGGGAUGAGUAUAGACACUACCAUCACCACCACAGGCAUUUCUAAUGGUCAUCUGGUUCUUUUAUUGAAGAACAUACUUCAAAUUGCUGAAACUGUUAUUACUCAUUACCUCUGUUUUUUUUUCCAUUUUCUUUUGUCUGUAUAAUGAAUUAGCUUCAAAACCUUUGAAGUAUCAAAUUUUCUUUUCGGGUUCAAACAAAUGCAAAUCAUCACAAGAAAACUACCCUUAUGGUUUCGCUAAUUGAUUAAAUAUACUUUAUUGUUUGAAAAUUGACCAGUAAUACCAGUUUCUGAAAAUUGACCAACUCUACCCCUAUUCGUUAAUAUCCGUUGAUGCUCUGUCACAAUUUAUGCACAUGUGACCUAUGUGACCUAUACAAUUUUUUUAAAACCCAAUAUCACCCUCGUACCCUGAGCCCCCAUUCUCUCUCUUCUAAUACCUCCCCUCCGGAGUAAUCAAGCAUCAGGCGGUGGCGGUUCAGAAUGGAGCAGACUUGUCAACCUUCUACAGCUGUAGCUUCGAAGGCUACCAGGAUACCCUAUACGCCCAUUCCCUCAGGCAGUUUUACAGGGAAUGUGAUAUAUAUGGAACUGUGGACUUCAGAUUCGGAAAUGCCGCCGCUGUUUUUCAAAACUGCAACAUUUAUGCCCGGCUGCCGAUGCAAGGACAGUUCAAUGCCCUGACCGCCCAAGGCAGAACAGACCCAAACUAGAACACCGGAAUUUCCAUUGAGAACUGUAAUAUCAUGGCAACUCCAGACUUGGUUUCUAGUAAUGGAACUACAAGCUCUUAUCUAGGACAACCAUGGAAAGAGUACUCUAAUGCUGUCUAUUCGCAACCUUUCAUUGAUAACUUCAUAGAUCCAGCUGGCUGGAUAGCAUGGUCUGGAGACUUUGCACUGAGCAUACUCUACUACGCGGAAUACAACAAUACAGGCGCAGGAUCAGUGACAACGAACAGGGUUUCGUGGCCGGGUUACCAUGUGAUAAACGCUACAGAUGCUGCCAAUUUCACUGUCUCCAACUUUGUGUUGGGGGACGACUGGUUACCUGCCAAGUUCGUCGCCAUAUUGCAGUAACUCUCGAAGCUAUUCGAGGCUUUCAACCUGGGCGAUUUCAUUUCUUGGCUUGGCGGUGCUCUCGAUGAUCUAGGCUCCGUCGAAUAUGAAAAGAUGCAGAAUCUUGGGCACUCCGAUGACUCCAGGCAAGAGGCGGAGGUAUUAGAAGAGAGAGAGUGGGGACUCAGGGUACGAGGGCAAUAUUAGGUUUUAAAAAAAUUGUAAGUGCUGAAAUCACUGACUUCAAUGUUUCUUUUCCCAAUUAUCUGUUUUAUUUUGAAAAUUAAAAAAAAAUAAAUAAAGGGUAAAAUAAUCUUUUUCGCUUUUUUACUAAUGGGCGUUAACAAGUAGAAUUAGUCAAUUAUCAAAAGUAGUAAGAAUAGUAUUAAUCAAUUAGCUAAACCGUAAUUGUUGUUAAAUUUCCUUUUUAUUGGAGGGUUUCCCUCUAUUUGUGCGGAGGAUUUUGGCGUUUGUGUUGAUGGGUUGCUUGAAAACCUUGAAUGGGUCAGUACUCGGGACUGAGGAGCGCGUGUUGUAUUUAUGCAAUCAAGACAGGGACAUGAUAAGAGCGUCUUCGGAUUUUACUGGCAUCGAUCGAUGACUUGGUUUCGUAGUCCUUUGCUUACUUACUUAUGAAGAUGCAAUCUUACACA